rnacentral:rRNA from 1 species
GUCUACGGCCAUACCACCCUGAACGCACCCAAUCUCAUCUGAUCUCAGAAACUAAGCAAGGUCGGGCCUGGUUAGUACUUGGAUGGGAGAAAUAUUAAUUACACUAAAAA